GCGGUACUAGACCAAUGGUAGAGUCAGCGGCUUUAAACCCCGUUCAGUGAGAGUUCGAAUCUCUCGUGCCGCACCA
rnacentral:tRNA from 1 species